rnacentral:rRNA from 1 species
AAUGGGCGAAAGCCUGAUGCAGCAACGCCGCGUGAAGGAUGAAGGGUUUCGGCUCGUAAACUUCUAUCAAUAGGGACGAAAAAAAUGACGGUACCUAAAUAAGAAGCCCCGGCUAACUACGUGCCAGCAGCCGCGGUAAUACGUAGGGGGCAAGCGUUAUCCGGAAUUACUGGGUGUAAAGGGAGAGUAGGCGGCAUGGUAAGUUAGAUGUGAAAGCCCGGGGCUUAACCUCGGGAUUGCAUUUAAAACUAUCAAGCUAGAGUACAGGAGAGGUAAGUGGAAUUCCUAGUGUAGCGGUGAAAUGCGUAGAUAUUAGGAAGAACAUCAGUGGCGAAGGCGACUUACUGGACUGAAACUGACGCUGAGGCUCGAAAGCGUGGGGAGCGAA